GAUGAACGCUGGCGGCGUGCCUAAUACAUGCAAGUCGAGCGAACAGACGAGUAGCUUGCUCCUCUGACGUUAGCGGCGGACGGGUGAUUAACACUUGGAUAACCUACCUCUAAGACUGUGAUAACUUCGGGAAACCGGAGCUAAUACCGGAUAAUAUAUUGAACCGCAUGGUUCAAUCGUUAAAGACGGUUUUUCUUUCACUUAUAGAUGGAUCCGCACCGCAUUAGUUAGUUGGUUAGGUAACGGCUUACCAAGGCAACGAUGCGUAGCCGACCUGAGAGGGUGAACGGACAGCCUGGAAGUGAGAAACGGUACAGACUCCUAGGGGAAGCAGCAGUAGGGAAUCUUACGCGAGGGGCGAAAGCGUGACGGAGGAAAGCCGCGUGAGUGAUGAAGGUCUUAGGAUCGUAAAACGCUGUUAGUAGGAAAGAAGAAAUGUGUAAGUAGCUAUGAACGUCUUGACGGUACCAACAGAGAAAGCCACGGCUAACUACGUG
rnacentral:rRNA from 1 species